rnacentral:snoRNA from 1 species
CCCAGGUGGACAACUCCUGGGCUUCUCCAGUGGCUCUGUCUGCACGUGCAGAGGAGCACAGCACUCAGGUGCUGGGGUGUAGAACCCUGUCCUCUAACCUCGGAAGCGAGCUUAUCCCCAGUCUUAGGACUGUUGGGGGCAUAUUCUGUAUCUUAGUGCCUGGCUGCUCCUGGGAAGAACUGUAGGAAAACUGUACAGGCGCAGUU